GGCCGGCUAGCUCAGUUGGUUAGAGCGUCGUGCUAAUACGUUCUAUGUAUGAACGCGAAGGUCUUGGGUUCGAUCCCCACGUUGGCCA
rfam:Lentinula edodes NBRC 111202 DNA, contig: scaffold24.